rnacentral:lncRNA from 1 species
GCCUUAUUUGCAUGUCAAAGAUGGUUCUUUAAGUGAGAGUUGUACAAGUGAUCCUUAGAUCUGAAAUCAUCAUGAAAUCUUGUGCACAUGAAUUCAUAUUUUGGUUCAUACUCAGGCAUAGUAUUAAGACAUAUACGGGAUGUUCUGGAUAUGGUAGAGUAUGUAUGAAGGUUAUGAGUAGAUCAACAUGAAAUCGAUCACUCCC